UACGUAGGGUGCGAGCGUUAAUCGGAAUUACUGGGCGUAAAGCGUGCGCAGGCGGUUCGUUGUGUCGGCGGUGAAAGCCCCGGGCUCAACCUGGGAAUGGCCGUUGAAACUGGCGAACUGGAGUGUGGCAGAGGGGGGUGGAAUUCCGCGUGUAGCAGUGAAAUGCGUAGAGAUGCGGAGGAACACCGAUGGCGAAGGCAGCCCCCUGGGCUGACACUGACGCUCAGGCACGAAAGCGUGGGGAGCAAACGGG
rnacentral:rRNA from 1 species